CGGCGGACGGGUGAGUAAUGCCUGGGAAUAUGCCUUAGUGUGGGGGAUAACUAUUGGAAACGAUAGCUAAUACCGCAUAAUGCCUUCGGGCCAAAGAGGGGGACCUUCGGGCCUCUCGCGCUAAGAUUAGCCCAGGUGGGAUUAGCUAGUUGGUGGGGUAAAGGCUCACCAAGGCGACGAUCCCUAGCUGGUCUGAGAGGAUGAUCAGCCACACUGGAACUGAGACACGGUCCAG
rnacentral:rRNA from 1 species